AUUUGUUUGCUGUACCAUUCUAGCUGGCAGGAGAGCACUGGGAGACAGUACCAUUGGUGAUUAACGGCCAUGGUCAGUGAGGUCACAUAUACUUUCUUUCUUUCUUUCUUUCUUUCUUUUUUUUUUUUUUUUUGAGACAGGGUUUCUCUGUAUAGCCCUGGCUGUCCUGGAACUCACUCUGUAGACCAGGCUGGCCUCGAACUCAGAAAUUCACCUGCCUCUGCCUCCCGAGUGCUGGGAUUAAAGGCGUGUGCUACCACUGCCCGUGGGCACGUAUACUUUUGGGAAUCAAAAGUUGCACUGGUUUACUUGUUGACCCUCUGAUCACCCAAACUGCCCUAUCUGACAUCAUUUGUGGCUGGAAAGCAUGAAAAGGGACUGAUUCGGGAGGAAAUACUGCCUCUUUCCUGGUAGCAUGAUCAUGGGUGCACCUUUAUGGUACUUUCUUAGGGAAUCUCAGCAUUAUUUGCCAAGAGAUUUGAGACCGGCAUUUUGGCACCAUGAGAUGCUGUUUGUGGCUUAUAUGGCUCUAUGGUACCUUCUGACUCCUGACAUACAUGGCAGGAACAAGAAGUAAAGUCUUCUGUGUGUUUGUGUGUUUGUGUCCAUGUGCACAGGGGAAGAAUUAAACAAGAAAGACUUGGGUGCCAUAAAAUAAACAGCUUUCCAUACAGUGUUGCUGCUGGUGGGAAAACACUUCAUCUGUUGUAGCUCUUCAGACUUCUGUGACAAAGUAGCCAGUGAUUUCAGAUGGAGAUGUUAGGAAAGACAGUGUAGUGAAUGUCCUUUACUAUAACGGCUCAGAGGACACAUCCAUGGACCUGAGCGUGAAGGCAGUGGAUGGGAACAGUGUUUACCAGUUUUGCUGGGGCUUUACAGGCUGAGUUCACUGUGUAAUAUUGGUGUCUUAAAGCAGAAGCACAUUUACGCAUUUCAUAAAGUCCACAGUGAACAUUUGCCACAGCUCUUGGAGAGUGCCAAGCAGGUUCUAGUGCUGGGAUGUUUGUGCCUGCCUGCCGGCCUUAGGUAGGGGAAGGCCAAACACCCUGGUUACUCACUGUUUACCCAGCAGGGGUGUCAAGUUCUAUCAGUACCACUCUUCUACAACACUGCCAGUGUCAUCGAGAUCCAGUCCGUUUCAUGAACGAGGAUUCAUUCACCACUGAAGUACCAGUCUCUCCUGGCUUGUUUAUUGUCAGUAGGGCAUUUUCUUGAUUAAUGAUUGGUGUUGGAGGGCCUAGCCCUCUGGGAGCAGUAUUCCCCCUGGGCCUGUGGUCCUAUAAUAUAUAGUAUAAGAAAGCAGACCAUGAGGCAUAAGCUAGGCUAGGAAGCAGCAGUCUUGCGAGCUCUCUGCUUCAGUUUCCUGCCUUGAGUUCCUGCCGAGACUUCCCUCAGUGAUGACUGUCCUGAGAGUUGUAAGAUAAAAUAAACUCUGCCCUCCAUGAGUUGGUUUUGGUAAUGGUGUUUUAUUACAGCAGUAGAAACAAAAUCUUAACUCAUUUAAUAUUUUCAAUUUCCCUCACAUAAUUGUCCCCUGACCUCUCCUGCUCUGAGGAUUAAGUCUUAGUAAUGUAUAAUUCGGUCCUUGUGAUGGACACUUCACACACUGAGAAAUAUCUUUUGGUUGAUAUUUUAUUUAAAGCAAUGAGGGGGAGAAAGAACAAUGGCACAUCUGGAAAUUCUCAAAGGAAGAAAGUUUCUCAUUCAAAGAAGCACAGAGUUUCUACAGACUGUUUAGGAAUGCGCAUGACAUUGAAAGACGAACUUGCGAAGUCUUGAGCCUGGCAUCAUGGUGUGAGCAUGUAAUUUCAUCAUUUGGGAGGCUGAGGCAGGAGGAUAAAAUCAAGGCCAGCCUAAGCUUCAUUCCAAGUUUUGAACAGCAUAUUACACAACAAUAUUCUGUCUAAAGAAAAAAAAAAAAACAAAAACAACUUGAAAAUAUGUAAGAUCAAGAACAUACAUGAUUCACCAAAGAUCUGACCUACAGUUGGACAGUUCCCAGCACACUAAUUUUAUCUGGCCACUUGAGUUCCACUGAUUAGUUGAAGACAAAUUUCUCAUAUGCCUUUUUACUUAUCCAUUUUUGUCUGAAUCACUAAAAUAUAAAAAGAGCUUUCCAUUUAG
rnacentral:lncRNA from 1 species